rnacentral:misc_RNA from 1 species
UACGCCCAUAUACUAUACUUUUAACAUAUAUAGUACAUAGAUUUACUCAUUUGUACACGCCUACCAAAAAAUAAAUUACCGUAGAUUGUUGUAUUUUUUAGACGUGAGCAAACAGCGGUUUGAUGAAAAACAAGGGUCAGUUUAAAGGUCAAAGUUGACGAAAAGCUUGUAGUGCUAACAAACUUGACGUUUUGACUGUAAAAGGCCGCGUCCUGACCGCGUGCCCAGUCGUAUGUUUAUUCUGUCGUAUAUAUACGAAAAAGAGGUAGGAGAGUGGAGGGGAGGAGGUUUAAAAGAAAGUAAUAAUCGAACACAUAAAGAGGAUCUACUUAUGAGUGUCUUGUUUGUGUACAUGAAACUGUUGACUGUCGAUUGAAAACUAUUCUAAACGCCGCUCUUCAAAAUGUUCUCAAAAUGAAAUAGGAUCGGACCGAUCGAUUCGAAUAUGACCACUCACGUUCGAAUUGAGGGCGGGUCUCUUUCAUUAUUUCUUUCUUUAAAAGUCUUAUAACCUCUUCUUUUUUCCAUUCAUUCUUUUUUUCUCUCUCACUCUUUCUAUCAUUCUUUUCUCAUUCUUCCUUUUAAUCUUUUUUCGGCUGAUUAGGCGCUUAUUGAUACAGGUGUUUCAAUUACUGAUUAGCCUUAUCUAUAACGCAGAUGGAGACUACGAUGCAACAAGCAAAAUCUUUGGGCUUUAGCAUGAAGGAUAUCUUGGAUAUGCCGAACAACUCUACUGGAUCACCAAGCGUACUACAAGACAACCCCUACGCUCAAUGGCUGGCGGAUCAUCAACCUUUUUCCAUGCACCAGCAAUCGACGACUGCAGUCGGAGAUGAACAACGUCAAAGAAAGACUCCAUCGAGCCCGUCAGAUCACGGUAGCGCUGUUCACGACUCGUCGCCCAAUAAACACGAAGAUGAUGAAGAGGAGGAGGAUGAUAGUGAGGUAAAUUCCGAGAAUGAAAAUCAAGAGAAUUCAACGUCGACCACCGACGAACCAAAGACCGACGGUCCUCCUAAAAAGAAAAAGCGUCGAGUACUGUUUUCCAAGGCACAAACAUACGAAUUAGAACGUCGUUUUAGGCAACAACGUUACUUAUCCGCCCCAGAAAGGGAGCACUUGGCAAGCAUCCUUCGACUCACGCCCACUCAGGUAAAAAUUUGGUUCCAGAAUCAUAGAUAUAAAUUGAAAAGGGCAAGACAAGAAAAGGGCUUACAUGACGCCAUAAACCCCUUACCAUCACCAAGAAGGGUUGCUGUUCCUGUGCUAGUUAGGGACGGCAAGCCAUGCCAUCCAAUUCCAAGACCUCCACAUCAUCAUCAACCACAUCCGUCCAUGGCGGCUAUGGCUCCAUAUGCGCAAAGCGACUUUAUUGCAGCGGCACCAUCCUGCGCUUUAGGUUCAUGUUCGCCAUUUUCAUCAUCACCCUACUGCCCUCCUCCUCCUCCUACCGUGCCUUCCUACAGUAUGCCUCCUCCGCCGCCCCCCUCCUACGGACAACUGGGGUCGCGUUCAGCGGCUUGGUGGUAGAAAAACUAUUAAUUUAUACUUACG